rnacentral:rRNA from 1 species
UACGAAGGGGGCUAGCGUUGCUCGGAAUUACUGGGCGUAAAGGGAGCGUAGGCGGACAUUUAAGUCAGGGGUGAAAUCCCAGAGCUCAACUCUGGAACUGCCUUUGAUACUGGGUGUCUUGAGUGUGAUAGAGGUAUGUGGAACUCCGAGUGUAGAGGUGAAAUUCGUAGAUAUUCGGAAGAACACCAGUGGCGAAGGCGACAUACUGGAUCAUUACUGACGCUGAGGCUUGAAAGCGUGGGGAGCAAACAGG